AACGAACGCUGGCGGCAGGCCUAACACAUGCAAGUCGAACGGUUGUAGCAAUACAGCCGUGGCGCACGGGUGAGUAACGCGUGGGAAUCUGCCCUGUAGUACGGAAUAACAGCGGGAAACUGCUGACAAAACCGUAUACGCCCUCCGGGGGAAAAAUUUAUUGCUAUAGGAUGAGCCCGCGUAAGAUUAGGUAGUUGGUGGGGUAAUGGCCUACCAAGCCUACGAUCUUUAGCUGGUCUGAGAGGAUGAUCAGCCACACUGGAACUGAGACACGGUCCAGACUCUUACGGGAGGCAGCAGUGGGGAAUAUUGGACAAUGGGCGAAAGCCUGAUCCAGCCAUGCCGCGUGAGUGAUGAAGGCCCUAGGGUUGUAAAGCUCUUUCGCCGGGGAAGAUAAUGACGGUACCCGGAUAAGAAGACACGGCUAACUUCGUGCCAGCCGCCGCCGUAA
rnacentral:rRNA from 1 species